GACGGACUCUGCCAUCACUUACUUACUGUAAAUGAGCAACUUUACGAAAACGAAUCUGCUGAUGUUUUUGGUCGCUCUUUGACAAAGUGCUUUCUUCUUUUUGAUUCAAAUUGUCAUCAUCUCAAACUACAGCUGGAGUGGUUCCUUAAUAAGCUAAUGCACACAAUACAAUUAGAUCAGUCAAGACUUCAAGCAGGCAGACAAGAGCUAACAUUAGAAUGUCUCAAUUCAAUUUUGUCACAUUCAUAAUUUUGUAUCAGAGUUAUAUGUUAAUUAUGAUUGCAGUACCUACUGUACUAAUGUGUGCGAGAGACUGAGCAAGCUACUUGCUAAGCAAGCAUUCCCCAGCUCUUAUCACACGAUAUCAUCAACCAACAUUAUUAGCACUGGAAACACUACUGACAUUGAUACUGGCAUUAGAAUCAACCAACACCACCACUACUGAUAAUGAUGAUACCAAUGAUGGUGAUACUAAUAGAAUGUGUACUAAAAAUGGAGGGAAAGUUGCAGGUGACUGUAAUAAAGGAGUGAGUGUGAAUUGAUCUGCUUGGAUCAUAUUCUCAUCAGAUAAGCAGCAGGAACCAGAUAUCAUUCUAAAUGGAGCAGAGGAGGUACCGUCAAGGAUCUCAAGUCCUUUUUUGUGGGCAGACUUGACACCUUGUCAUCAAAUUUACAUGAAUGAACAUUAAUGAUGUACAUGUACUUAAAUGUCUAUCUCUUUCUCUAGUAAUUCUGUAACUCACAUGUGUACUACUUGUGGUGUUAGCAAAGUCUCUCUUCUCAGGGAAUUCUGUAACAAAACAGGAGUACAGAUUACAUUGAAGGAUUACAAAUUUUCCUUGACUGCUCCAUUCAAUGAAGGUGAUCUUGCCUGUAUUGUACCUGUUGUUAAGCACACUGAUUUUAAAGUGAGACAAAACUUCAUUUAUUACUGCUUUGUACUGU
rnacentral:lncRNA from 1 species